rnacentral:lncRNA from 1 species
CAUCCUCAUCCAGGCCACGCUCCUCCUCCAAGGCCAGGUCCCCAUGCACCACUACCAGGUCUAGGUCAUCCUCCUGAGCCACACAAGCCUCGUCCAUGACACCACACUGCAUAUCCAAUACAAUGUGAACCUUAGCUUGGUACUUGAGCGACUCUUUCACCAGUUUCGUGUUAUUUAUGUAAUAAAUUGAUAAAAACUAUUUCUACUAAAAUAAUUUAAUAAAAUAAAGUAGCAUGUUUGAUAUAUUUUCUAGGUUAUGGAGGAUAAGACUUAUAUAUAUUAAAGAGACACUACCUUUCGUUGUAGGCAUAUAAUGAACAUUUGAAGAAUAUAAUGAAAUCAAUUGAAAGAUAAAUGAUAAUAUAAUGCAUUAACAUUAAGAGAAUUAUCUAAAAAUAAAAAGUGAACAUUAACAUAAUAAAAUGAAAUAAAUUAAAAUAAGAAAACAUGAAUGUAGAUGAGACUUGUGUAUGGAAGGAAAUAAGAUAAAUUGCCAAAAUUAACUUAAGUGUAGUGAAAAAGAAAAUGUCAACAUAUUGUCACUGUUAGAAUCAAAACCACUAGUUUCAAUCUGAAGUUAGCAAUGGAUAGAUAUAAAUAAAAUCAACUUUUAUAUUAAUACUAUUUGUCGAAAUCAUUUUUUUACAAGGGGUCAAUUUUAAUUUUGAAAACAAAAACAAACAUGAGAGUCGCUACCAAUCCUUUUUGAUGAGGUGGGAUCGAGUCACCUCGAAAAAUGGUUGUUUUUUAAUAAAUGGUUUGAUUUAUUAAAACAACGAUUUCGGUUUACAGAAUUCAGAAUAAACAGGUUCGUGAGUCGGUUACGUACGAGGAAGGAUUAGCACCCUCGAAAUGCCCAAAAUUGAUACAUAAUUGAUUAAUUAGUGUCUUAAUGUCGAAAAUUAAAAACUUUGAAGAGAAUUAAAAUAUGAUCCUUUGUUAAAUUUGCUUAAUUGAAUUUUUUUUUAGAAAAUGGCAUAUUUCACGUUAAUUGAAAAAAAGAAUUAUGUCCCGUAAGUUAGGACACAAUAUCUUAAAUCACCAAAAUGAGAAUAAACACCGAAAGUUUUAUUAUUUUAGUUUUAUUAUUUUAAAGGAUAUGCGAUAUCUUAAUUAAAAAAAAGAAUCAUAUUUCGUAAGUUAGAACACGAUUUUUUAUUAAUUCCCGAGAUGAUUAAAAAAUUUAUGUUAAAAAAGGAUUCGUGUAUUCGGAUUUAUCGAGAAAAUCGAAACCCCGUAAGUUAGGAAAAAACUUUUUGAAUUCAGAAAUACGAAAUAUUGCUUAUUUAGAACAACAUUUUUAAUAUAUCAAGUAAAAUGUAACACAAUUUUGUAGUAAAAUGUGAAAUAAAUUACGGUGCUAAUAUGCAUAGCAGAAUAACAAAAAAUACAUUAAUGUGAACAAAAAUAUAAAGAACGAAAAUAAAAUAAAAUAAAAUAAACAAACCAAAAAUAAAAAGACAAAUAAUAAGGAUAACGAACUAAAAUUUAAAACUAAAGACUUAAUAUUAUAUAAAUAAAUAUUGUAUAAAGCAAUUUAAGAAUAAUAAUAUUAAUAAUAAUGACGAUGAUAUUAAUAAAAAUAAUAAAAAUAAUCUAAAACUUUAAAAUUAUAUAAGAGGAUAUAAAUAAAUAGAUGAUAAAUAUAAGAGAAAUAUAAUAAUAAUAGUAAUAAUAAUGCAAAAUUAAUUAAUUUAAUAAUAUAAUAAUAACAAGUAAAUAAAUAAAAAAAAAUAUAAAAUAAUAAUAGUAAUAAUAAUAUUAAAUUAAUUGAUUUAAUAAUAAAAUAGCAAAAAUAACAAAAACAAAUGGGCCAAAUUGAACUUUAAAACAGAAGUUUGGGGCAAAUCAGAAAUAAAUAAGACGGAAAAGGACCAAUUUGAACGCGCGAAUAACAAGAAGGGACCGAAAAAGAAAUAAUCCCCACCCUCCAAAACGCACAGCUUCGAGGUGGACCAAAUUGAAAGCAGAAACAAAUUAUAGGGCAAAAUUAAAAAAUAGAAGAAACUUGAUUGCAAACAAUUAAAAAUCGGAAGGGUUAAAAGCGCAGUUAGCCCUUCCAUUCAAAAAAGCGGAUCCUAGUAGCGGGUCGGGUUGGCGCGCGGGUUAGACACAAAACGAUGACGUUUUGGUGCCUGAGAGGCCUGCCCAAAACGGCGCCGUUUUAGAAACCUAUUUAAGUCAGUUGACAAAAAUCAUUUCGCCCUUUGUUCAGAAAAAAAAAAAAACCUUAAAACUCUAUCCCCCUCUCUGGUUUUCUCUGGGCACUGCCCAGUAUCCGGCGAAUGGAGCCGCCGUGGCGCCAUCAUGUAAGGUGGUCGGAGGCCCCCAGGUUAGUUUCCGUCCUUUUUUUCUCUCUUUUUUUUAUAUUAUAUAUGUAUAGUUUUUUAAAUAAAAGGAAAAUAAAAUUUUUUGAAUAGGAGCAGUUUCGAAACUGGAAAAAUAAAGAAAAAAAUGACCUUCUCACGUUUCCCUUUGGUUUUUUUUUCUUCGAUCUGCUUUGCUGCUUGUUGUUCUUAUGCUUGAAUCUGUUUUUGUAUUUUACAAAAAAAAAAAAACCCCCCCGAAGAAAAAGAUUACAAUCGGUUCAAAAUGGCUUUAUAGCCAAUUUUUACACAUUUUUUAGUCUAUUUUGCAUGCUGUCACUUCUUGCUUUUAAUCUUUGUAGGUGCAAAUGGGCGGUGCAAGUGGAGGGCGGUGCUGCAGUGGCGGUGGCAGGGCUGUCAGGGGCUAGGUGCGGCGGCAGCAGGCUUGGGUUUCAGUUUUUUGCUGACACUGAGUUUAGUUUUGGGCCAAUCGGGCCGCCUAUGGUUUUAGAGUUUUGGUUUGGGCCAUUUGGGCAUGUUGUAAAUGGACUGGACUUUACUAAUUGUUUUGUUUUAUUUUAUUUUUGGGUUGUUUGUUUAGGGCCCGGGCAAUUUGGGCUGAUUACACGAUUUUUCUAUCAAUUCAUUAAAAUUUUAAAUUUUGCACUAUCAUCAUUAAUUUAUUAUUUUGAAAUUUCAAAAAUAGUUUGUAAUCGUUGUAAAGAGGAUCAAACAACAAAAGAAACCUUAAAUUCCAAGAAACACUAUAACAGUUGAGGAGAACAGAAGUUCAAAGCGAAAGGAAAAAGCAUCAUACCUCUGAAUUAAUUUAUGAAGUCAACAUAUUAGCUUAGAAUAAUGAACAAUUAAACACAUUACAAACGAAAACCAUAAAAAUACAAAAAUAAUUAGCAACCGGCAGCCCAGCCCACUAUAGCCAGCCUCUGUCACACUUAGCCCAUCCUAUCUGUUAACUUUUACAUCGAAAUGGCCCGACUUGUGUUUCAUCCAAACUUCUAUCAAUUGAGAAAAUUUUGGGAUAAUUUCUAUAGAAAUUCUUACAAAAUUUCAGCCAAUGUUUGUUAGUAUUAGUAAAAAUAAUAAACUCUUCUAAACUCUUAGAUGUUGAUGGCCUAAUUCGAGUAAAUUUUAACUUGUACGGUUAUAGCUGUCCAAAAAAAUUAUUUUAAAGUUUAAUUAAUUGAAAUGAAAAUAAAAACAAGAUUCACAGGAUGCUACUAGGCAACUAUUUAAAUUAGUAAAAUUCAUUUGAAGUCGAUUGAGUCUUAACUUGAUUGGUAUUGGUGUCAGUGCAGGAAAAUGUAGGUUUAAGUGCGCUAAAACUCAUUAUCCUUCUAUUUAAAGGUUAAAGAUGGACUAUAAAUAAUUUUAGACAUGGUAUAAAAAAAGUAAAUAUAUUAAAAACUUAUAAUAAAUCUAAUAUUAAAAAAAAACCUCAUUUGAAACAGUUUAGUCGCUAAUGUUAUUCUACUGGGCUAAGAAUAUGAAUGAGUUAUAUAAUUAGUAAACUUACUAUACUUUUUUAAAUUUUAAAAAUUCACUCUUAAUUACAAUAAUUAUUGUUAAAUUCAUUAAUUACAAUGUCGUAUAUUUCUUUAACUAUUAUAUUUUAAUGACUAUUGUUCGUCAAGAUUGAAAUUUCAAAUAUUAAAAAAAAUAUAAGAGCUAAAAAUAAUUAAAUUAGAGUCGAUUGAGUCUUAAUUUGUUGGCAUUGACCUUGUUACCAAUAUAUAAAUUUGAGUUUGAGCGCGUUGAAUAGUAUUUAUUCCCUUAUUUAAAGGUUGAGAAAAUGGUUAGGUAUACUUAUAAACAUCUUAUAAAAAAUAAUUUAGAUUUUUUUUUACAAUGACACAUAUGAACAAAUAAAACUAAAAUUAAUAAUUAAAUUAUAAGGAAUUAAAUAAACAAUUUACGGAUAGUAGAGGGAGAUUAAAACAUUUUCCUGUCACCCAUUUUUUUUUAUAGCAGCAGUUGAUGAAGAUAAUGUUAUACAGAAAGGUGUCAUCAAAGCACUGCAUCGUACAUACAACCAAAAAAACAAAUGACUUUCUGCUGUUUACUUUUUUGACCAUCCAGGGAACUCCAUGAAUGUUUUUUUGGUGAAAACCUACCACCACCGGCAAAUCAAACUUGGCUUUGACUUGUAGUUAAAAAGCAAAGUCCUUCAUGGUUAAGGGGGGGGGGGCACUUACAAGUAUAAAUUCACAACUUCCCUUGUAACACAAUCUAGCUAGCUACAAGGUGAAAUUUGAAAAGAAGAGAAAAAAUGCAUAAUCCACCACCACCAGACCCCCACCACCCACAUCCGCAACCCCAUGCUCCGCCUCCAGGUCCGCCACAUGCUGAUCAUCCUCCUCCAGGCCAUGCUCCUCCUCCUGGGCCAGGCCCCCAUGCGCCACCGCCAGGACCAGGUGGUCCAGGUCAUCAUCCCGAGCCACACAAGCCUCGUCCAUGAUCCUUAUACCGUGAAUACAAUAUUAUGUAAGCUUAGGCUGGGUACCGUACUUAUGUAAUAAAUUAAGAAAACCUAUUUCUACUAUAAUAAUAAUAAAGAU